UUUUACUCCUUCUUAUAACCCCCAUGCCAUAUCAUUCUCUUCAUCAUCUCUUCAUCAUCACCAAUCUCUCUCCCCCUAUCUCUCUCGCUCUCAUCCCCCAUGAAGAUAGGCGAGACUCUUGGGGGAUAGAAGAUAAAGACUUUUACCCAAAGAAGAACACAAUGAUUUCCCUUUAACUCUCUCUACUGAAGAAGAAGCUGUGCAAAGGGAGCUUUCUCUUUUGAGGGGAAUGUUGUCUGGCUCGAGGACUCUCUUUUGAUCCAUCUUUGUUGAUGAUUUUUCUUUAAUUAUAUCCAUAGAUCUAAUAGGUGUAUGGAUUUAGAAUUAGAUUGAUCAUGUGAUAGUGUCGUCGGACCAGGCUUCAUUCCCCCCAAUUAAUGCUUCCAUGGAGAUCUGAUUUUUCUUUUCAAGGGUUGCAUGCAAAGAUUGGUGUAAUGAUGAAGUAUUUUGACCAAUCUACUUUGAAUAAAAGUUUAAUCAUUACUUUCUUUUUAUUUUCAUUCCUGUUCGUGCGAUGAUGGUGUUUUUUUUUUUUCUCUUUUGUCAGCCUUUUUAUAGUUCAUCAAUAGCCAGAUUUCUCUCAUGAUGGCUUUCAGUAUCCGAUCUGUCCGUUUCUGGUUUAUUCAGAUCUGGCUUUGAACUUUGGUAAACAUUCUUUUACUUCUUUUUCUUCUUCUACUUUUCCUUCUCUCUCUUAGGGUUUUAUUCUGUUGUUUUUGUGUUCGGACUUUUAAAUCUCAAAAUAAAUCUUUUAGAAAAGGCCUAAGUAACCUCUGGGAAUUUGUAAUAGCAAGAAAGUGAUGCCUUUUACUUUCUUUUUCUGUCAUUUUUUGAAAAGUUUCUCGAUUCUGUAGAGAUUGAGAGAUAGAAAUUGCUUAUGCAAAUGCAGACUUACAUAUUUACAAUUGGACACAUAUUUCUCUACAUAUCGCAACUCUGGUGCUUCGUUUACAUUUGACAUGUAUGUAUAGUCCUACGAUAUGAUUGUUCUAAAUUUGCUUUCUUUUCUCCUAAUCCCAUUUGAAUAGGAUAUUCUGAUGUGAUUUGCAUGCCAUAGGUAAUGGACCUCCUUAUUCGCUUGUUUUUUCUUUAUUACUGUGUGCAUGUGAGGAUAAUCGUAUUCGUGCAUCUCUCAUUAAUGGAACCUCUCAAGUCUUGGCUUUGUUGUGUACUUGUUUGAAACCCUAGUAAAAAGUAAUCCUUUUCAAAGUUGAAUUUGUUUGUUAUAAAUUUAGAAACUUUGAUUCUCGUUUUCUUCGCAAAACUUCCUCUGUUGUCUCUUCAUUUUAGGUUUUACGAGGACAUGAAUCUUCAGAUAUUAUUAGCAGUAACUAAAUCCACUCGAACAUCCAAAUGUUCUAAAUUUGAUCUAAUGUGUUGAAAGAGAAAUCUUCUGUGUAAAAUCUCUCUCAUAAAAUAGAUUGAUUGAUAACGAUUGGUGAAAUGAAAACGUCUGAUCGAUUUGCAGAAAAGCUUUGUGCAGGAUAAAACACAUGCUUUAGCAGCGAGUUUGUUCCCAUUUUUGUGUUUCUACGUUGUACAUUUUAGUGGGUUAGUGAAAAACCCAUUGGAUCAAAAGGGUUUUAUAAAGCUAGGAUCUUUCUUCCAUUUAUUGUGAAAUUUCUGUCAUGGAAGUUGAGGAAGAAACAUGCCGAAUGUUAAACAAUUGAUUUGAAAGAUGGGCAAAAGAGUCUCUCCCACAUGCCUCUAGGGGCAUAGAAGAAACCUCUGCCUCUUAGCCUUUAUUAUGCUCUUGUUCCCCAUCCGUCCUCAUCUUCUUCUUCCUCAUACAAACAGCCUUCUCAGUGUAUGGAAAUUUGUGAUUAUCGUAAGUUUAAUGUGUUUGGAAUCUAGGAAGCAAGUAUUACCUUUUCUAUUUUAUCAUUAAUUGUGUUUGCAUUUCUUUGCACCUGGUGGAGAUUUAAUUAGACCAAUGUUGAUGGUAUACUAGUUAAAGAAUAAGGGCGGCGUUUCACAUUUUUCUUCCAUUUCACUCUAGCCAUUGUUGUUGAAAAUGGACUUAUAUGAAUUCUGUUGUCUCGUAAUUAAAGAAUUGCUUUUUGGGAAUUGAAUCUUUUUGACCUUUGCAAAUAUAAAGUAAACCAUUUUCUGCUUCA